UCAUCAGUCCAUCCAAAAUUGCCUCCAAAAACAUGAACUUGUCUGGCUUGAAUGUUGCAAUUUUCAUUCCUUCUCAUACUGAUUAUAGUAUACAAACCAACAGCCACAAGGAUGAAGGGCCUGGAUUCAUACUGUUGGAAGCUGGGGGCUGCCUUCAGCUCCUACAACCUGCCUGCAGUUCCUCACCAUGUGGAUGUCCCCAAAGGGGGCUUCCAAAUUCAAGUUAGCAAGGAUUCUCCUUGGAAAUUACCAGUUUGGCCAGCACAGCUCUUGAGCUAAGGGCCAAAGCAAGUGUGGGGAACUCCACAGGCCCCUUAUUCCCAAUAGCAUUAAUAUUGUGCUACCUGCCUGGUGUCUG